GUGGGCGUAGCUCAGUUUGGUAGAGCUCCUGGUUGUGGUCCAGGCGGUCGCGGGUUCAAGUCCCGUCGCUCACC
rnacentral:tRNA from 1 species